rnacentral:lncRNA from 1 species
AGAACGUUGGUUUUGCAGAAAUAGCCGUUUGGCAUUUUUAAAAUUUAGCCAUUUGACCCCUCAAAUUUAAUUUAACCCCAAACUUCAUAUAAUUACACAAUUUCCCAUUUCUCAACUAUAAAUACCCCUUCAUUCUUUCAUUUUAAUUCACCAAUUCAUCAAUCUUACUCAAUCUCUCUCAAGCUCUCUUUCAAUCUUUCUGUGCAAGUGCUUAAUUUUUGU